GUUGAUAACCUAGAUAACUGCUUCGGCGAAAGCCGGAGAGGAAAGUCCGGACACCUUUUCGGCGCAAGCCGAAGAAAAGUAGUGGCUAACAGCCAUCAGUCCGUAAGGCAGAGGUGCGAACAGAGACGUCCUGGAGCGAAAGAUCCGGGAAGGCCCAAUCUCAAGCUAGUUGGCCUAAUUCUGCUAUAGAGAUUAAAAAGCAGAAGUGAAACGGCUAAAUCCUUACUGGGUGCAAGGCCGUACCUUAAUUGGUGUGCCGCACGACCCCACGAGCAAUCGCGGGGCUAGAUAAAUAGUUGUCGUCCUAAUGCAAAUUAGGGAACAGAAUCCGGCUUAUUGGUUAUCAGCUCUA
rnacentral:RNase_P_RNA from 1 species